rnacentral:rRNA from 1 species
UGGGGAAUCUUGCACAAUGGGGGCAACCCUGAUGCAGCGACGCCGCGUGAGCGAUGAAGCCCUUCGGGGUGUAAAGCUCUUUCGGCAGGGAAGAUUAUGACGGUACCUGCAGAAGCAGCUGCGGCUAACUACGUGCCAGCAGCCGCGGUAAUACGUAGGCAGCAAGCGUUGUUCGGAGUUACUGGGCGUAAAGGGUGCGUAGGCGGUCCUGUAAGUAUGGUGUGAAAUCUCCCGGCUUAACUGGGAGGGUGCGCUAUAAACUGCGGGACUAGAGUGUGGGAGAGGAAAGUGGAAUUCCUGGUGUAGCGGUGAAAUGCGUAGAUAUCAGGAGGAACACCGGUGGUGUAAACGGCUUUCUGGACCAUAACUGGCGCUGAGGCACGAAAGCGUGGGUAGCAAACAGGAUUAGAUACCCUGGUAGUCCACGCCCUAAACGAUGCAUAUUUGGUGUGGGUCAUUCAGUUGAUCCGUGCCGGAGCUAACGCGUUAAAUAUGCCGCCUGGGGAGUACAGUCGCAAGGCUG